GAUGAACGCUGGCGGCGUGCUUAACACAUGCAAGUCGAACGAAGCACUUAAUGAGAUUUCUUCGGAUUGAUUAUUUUGUGACUGAGUGGCGGACGGGUGAGUAACGCGUGGGUAACCUGCCCCANACCGGGGGAUAACAGUCGGAAACGACUGCUAAUACCGCAUAAGCGCACAGUGCCGCAUGGCACGGUGUGAAAAACUCCGGUGGUCUGGGAUGGACCCGCGUCCGAUUAGUUAGUUGGCGGGGUAACGGCCCACCAAGACCGCGAUCGGUAGCCGACCUGAGAGGGUGACCGGCCACAUUGGGACUGAGACACGGCCCAGACUCCUACGGGAGGCAGCAGUGGGGAAUAUUGCACAAUGGAGGAAACUCUGAUGCAGCGACGCCGCGUGAGCGAAGAAGUAUUUCGGUAUGUAAAGCUCUGUCAGCAGGGAAGAUAAUGACGGUACCUGACCAAGAAGCCCCGGCUAACUACGUG
rnacentral:rRNA from 1 species